rnacentral:rRNA from 1 species
UGGGGAAUAUUGGACAAUGGGCGAAAGCCUGAUCCAGCCAUGCCGCGUGAGUGACGAAGGCCUUAGGGUUGUAAAACUCUUUCGUCGGGGACGAUAAUGACGGUACCCGAAGAAGAAGCUCCGGCUAACUUCGUGCCAGCAGCCGCGGUAAUACGAAGGGAGCUAGCGUUGUUCGGAAUCACUGGGCGUAAAGCGCACGUAGGCGGACUUGUAAGUUGGGGGUGAAAUCCCGAGGCUCAACCUCGGAACUGCCUCCAAAACUACAAAUCUGGACCUAAGUAGAGGCAAGUGGAAUUACGAGUGUAGAGGUGAAAUUCGUAGAUAUUCGCAGGAACACCAGUGGCGAAGGCGACUUGCUGGACUUAUGGUGACGCUGAGACGCGAAAGCGUGGGGAGCAAACAGGAUUAGAUACCCCAGUAGUCCCUGAGCGGGCUGGCAAGGCGCAU